GAUGAACGCUGGCGGCGUGCCUAAUACAUGCAAGUCGAGCGAACGGACGAGAAGCUUGCCUCUCUGAUGUUAGCGGCGGACGGGUGAGUAACACGUGGAUAACCUACCUAUAAGACUGGGAUAACUUCGGGAAACCGGAGCUAAUACCGGAUUAUAUUUUGAACCGCAUGGUUCAAAAGUGAAAGACGUUCUUGCUUUCACUUAUAGAUGGAUCCGCGCUGCAUUAGCUAGUUGGUAAGGUAACGGCUUACCAAGGCAACGAUGCAUAGCCGACCUGAGAGGGUGAUCGGCCACACUGGAACUGAGACACGGUCCAGACUCCUACGGGAGGCAGCAGUAGGGAAUCUUCCGCAAUGGGCGAAAGCCUGACGGAGCAACGCCGCGUGUGUGAUGAAGGUCUUCGGAUCGUAAAACUCUGUUAUUAGGGAAGAACAUAUGUGUAAGUAACUGUGCACAUCUUGACGGUACCUAAUCAGAAAGCCACGGCUAACUACGUG
rnacentral:rRNA from 1 species